UUUAAUUUUCCUUUAUGCUACAGACACAUCUGACUCAGUUGCUGUUGGGAAUUUGGUGAUGCAAAGCACAGAGACAGUGGUUGGAUUAAACUACUCCAAGCAGCACACACAUGUCCCCGUUUGCACACAUGGGACCAGGGAGAUAGAAAAAAGGAAACCAAAACCCUCAGCUGCAUGUGGUGGCAGCAAGAACCACCACCUCUUGAGGAGGAAGGAGCAUCCCUUCCUGCUGCAAACUGUGGAGAACAGCAGUGACUUGUGAUGCUCACACAUCUGCCCAGACAAGUUUCUGGGGAGAAGCUCACCCUGCCUGUCCGCCGGUCCUUGCUACACCACAUUAGUGCCAGUUCUCAGCUGUGGCACAACAUUGUUGAAAUCUGUGAACACCCAAGCAUCAGACCCUGGCCACCGAUGGUUAUGGCUCAGCUUCAACACGAAGAUGGAGACCAACAGCAGCAUCUCAGGAAACCAGCAUACGUUUAACCUGCAACAAUGGAGCAGCUUUAGGACAUGCUUCCUAUGGGAGACCUAAUCACGUCGGAGUUACAGCACAAAGCAGGUGCAUUUCCUGUUCCUCCGACUGGGCAGGUAAAGUGCCAGAAGCUUCUGAGAUGUGAUGAGUGUUGGGCACCCCUGAAACAUGAUGGUGUUAACUGGACAGUAAGGUUCUGUUGACAUGGUCUAGGCACAUCUCAGAGAGAAGGCCCCAAAUAUAUGACUUGGACUCUGAAAAUAACCCUUAUUUUUAAUGAAAGCAGUUAUAUCAUCCAACAGUCAUUCCUGGAAACCACACACCUGAUAGACAGUGACAGAACUGAAUGGUAAUUUAUGAAGAGACCUUGUGAGAUAGCAAGGAUCCUUAAAAUGGAAAGUUGUGCUGCAUUAGUGGUAUAAUAAAGCAGCUUUAUUAGAAAUUAUCCGUGAACUA
rnacentral:lncRNA from 14 species